rnacentral:rRNA from 1 species
UACGUAGGGUGCGAGCGUUGUCCGGAAUUAUUGGGCGUAAAGGGCUCGUAGGCGGUUUGUCACGUCGGGAGUGAAAACUCAGGGCUCAACCCUGAGCGUGCUUCCGAUACGGGCAGACUAGAGGUAUGCAGGGGAGAAUGGAAUUCCUGGUGUAGCGGUGAAAUGCGCAGAUAUCAGGAGGAACACCGGUGGCGAAGGCGGUUCUCUGGGCCGGUACUGACGCUGAGGAGCGAAAGCGUGGGGAGCAAACAGG